CUACGGGCGGCAGCAGUCGAGAAUAUUCCACAAUGGGCGAAAGCCUGAUGGAGCGACGCCGCGUGCAGGAUGAAGGCCUUCGGGUUGUAAACUGCUUUUAACUGGGAGAAAGUUCCGCCUUCGGGCGGAGUUGAUAGUACUAGUUGAAUAAGGGGUUGCUAACUCUGUGCCAGCAGCAGCGGUAAUACAGAGACCCCGAGCGUUAUCCGGAUUUAUUGGGCGUAAAGCGCGGACAGACGGCAUGAAAAGUCUAAUGUUAAAUCCCAGGGCCUAACUCUGGGGCUGCAUUGGAUACUUUCAAGCUAGAGGGCGCCAGAGGCAGAUGGAACAGCCGGUGUAGGGGUGAAAUCCGUUGAUAUCGGCUGGAACACCAAAGGCGAAGGCAUUCUGCUGGGACGUCCCUGACGUUAAACCGCGAAAGCGUGGGUAGCAAAAAGGAUUAGAUACCCCUGUAGUC
rnacentral:rRNA from 1 species